ACAAGUGUCAACGGUUGCUUCAGAGUCUGCCUUUAGUGCUGGUGGCCGUGUCAUUGAUCCUUAUCGCAGCCGUCUUGAUCCUGAGAUGGUACAAGCAUUAAUUUGCACCAAAGAUUGGGUAGCUGCAGGAAGAAAAGAUUCCAAGAAAUUUUCUUCCAUUGUGGAUGAUCUCGAGGUUCUAGAGACCAUUUCUAAUAAACUGAUGCAUGAGGAGAAAGAAGAAGAAAUAGCAAGUGAUCCAGAUGUGAUGAAUGAUUAUGAGCAGCUGUAGGCCGAGAGUGAUUGAAGAAUGUUUAUGUUCAUGUUUUAUUGUCCUAUUAUUGUCAUAUGUUGACGUUGUGGUGGACUAG